rnacentral:rRNA from 1 species
UUAAAGGGCUGCAGUAUAUUGACUGUACAAAGGUAGCAUAAUCAUUAGUCAUUUAAUUGAUGACUUGUAUGAAGGAUUGGAUGAAAUAUAAACUGUCUCUUAAUUAUAUUUAGAAUUUAAUUUUUUAAUUAAAAAGUUAAAAUAAAUUAGAAAGACGAGAAGACCCUGUAGAGUUUUAUAAAUAAAAUUAAUUGAGAUUAUAUGUAAAAGUUAAAAUUAAGAUUAAUUUAUUUAUUUUGUUGGGGUGACAGAAAAAUAUAAAAAACUUUUUAUAUAUUUAAAACGUUGAUAAGUGGUUAAAUGAUCCAAUAUUAUUGAUUAUAAGAAAAAAUUACCUUAGGGAUAACAGCGUAAUUUUUUUUUUUAGUUCAUAUAAAAAAAAAAGUUUGCGACCUCGAUGUUGGAUUAA